UGACAAUGUUGUUAAUGUUAAGGCAAGAAAAUUGCUAAAGCCAAACGUAAUGUGGAUGAGGAUGAUGAUGAAAAGGUAUCUAAAUUUUUGGUUACCAAGCACCCUGCUGUGGCACCAUCUAUGUGUAGAUACACGAAUGUUAAUGUAAUGCAAGAUAUUAGAGGCAAACUAACAGAUCCACAGAUGGAUAUGUUUAGGAAUUCUUGUUUUGUCCUGUAGAUUUGAGGAAGUUGUGCCAACACCCCAUGAGUUGGAAACUCUUAAAUUGCCUCCUGUUGCACAUGACAUACCAGACGUCAAACAUGGAGUUGAUGGUGUACAUGAUAUUGAUUUGGUAGACGAUGAUUACGAUGAUUUUAGUACCACACCACCGCAUCUGUCCAGUGGCAAACAGCAACAAAGGAGUGCCAAUUCUGAUUC